UACGUAGGGUGCAAGCGUUGUUCGGAAUCAUUGGGCGUAAAGCGCGUGUAGGUGGUUUUGUAAGUCGGGUGUGAAAUCCCUGGGCUCAACCGAGGAAGUGCAUCCGAAACUACAAAGCUAGAGGACGGUAGAGGAAGGUGGAAUUCCUAGUGUAGAGGUGAAAUUCGUAGAUAUUAGGAGGAAUACCGGCGGCGAAGGCGGCCUUCUGGGCCGGUUCUGACACUGAGACGCGAAAGCGUGGGUAGCAAACAGGAUUAGAUACCCUGGUAGUCCACGCCGUAAACGAUGGGUACUAGGUGUUGCAGGAAUUGACCCCUGCAGUGCCGACGCUAACGCAUUAAGUACCCCGCCUGGGAAGUACGGUCGCAAGAUUAAA
rnacentral:rRNA from 1 species